AAACUAUUUUAAUUUGGCGGCAUUUCAUCUUAUUAGAGGAAUUUGUCACAUAAUCGAUAUUCCACGAUAAAUUUCACUUUUAUUUUCAAUUUAUAUACCGCCAUCUUAAGAAUUAGUUUUAAAAUAUNAUUCUCAAUAAAAUAUAAUAUGUUAGGUCAAGGUGUAGUUAAUAUAACAGCAUUAGAUGAAUUACUUUAAAUAUUAUUCAAGGAUUAUUAAUUAAAAAUCAAUAUCAAAAAGGAUUUAAAAGUAAUAUCAUAAUAUUAUUAUAAUAUGAUUAAGAUAAUAAAUGUGCACACAUCGCCC
rnacentral:rRNA from 1 species